UACGUAGGGUGCAAGCGUUAAUCGGAAUUACUGGGCGUAAAGCGUGCGCAGGCGGUUAUGCAAGACAGAUGUGAAAUCCCCGGGCUCAACCUGGGAACUGCAUUUGUGGCUGCAUCGCUGGAGUGCGGCAGAGGGGGAUGGAAUUCCGCGUGUAGCAGUGAAGUGCGUAGAUAUGCGGAGGAACACCGAUGGCGAAGGCAAUCCCCUGGGCCUGCACUGACGCUCAUGCACGAAAGCGUGGGGAGCAAACAGG
rnacentral:rRNA from 1 species